rnacentral:rRNA from 1 species
UGAACAGCACUUUUGUGCUUCACGCUAAUUCCAAGUGCCAACACACUUGAUAAUUCGAGAACUAAGUGAAAAGGUAAAUCUAGUGGCGGACGGGUGAGUAACGCGUGAACAAUCUGCCCUGUACAGCGGAAUAGCCUCGGGAAACCGGGAUUAAAACCGCAUAAUACUUAAGUAUCGCAUGAUGCAUAAGUCAAAUUGAUUAAGAGGUAUAGGAUGAGUUCGCGUCUGAUUAGCUAGUUGGCGGGGUAAUAGCCCACCAAGGCGACGAUCAGUAGCCGGCCUGAGAGGGUGAACGGCCACACUGGAACUGAGACACGGUCCAGACUCCUACGGGAGGCAGCAGUGGGGAAUAUUGCACAAUGGAGGGAACUCUGAUGCAGCGACGCCGCGUGAGUGAAGAAGGUCUUCGGAUCGUAAAACUCUGUCCUUGGUGAAGAUAAUGACGGUAACCAAGGAGGAAGCCCCGGCUAACUACGUGCCAGCAGCCGCGGUAAUACGUAGGGGGCUAGCGUUGUCCGGAUUUACUGGGCGUAAAGGGUGAGUAGGCGGUUAUGUAUGUCAGAUGUAAAAGGCGCGGGCUUAACUUGCGUUAGCAUUUGAAACUGCAUAACUUGAGUGCAGGAGAGGUAAGCGGAAUUCCUAGUGUAGCGGUGAAAUGCGUAGAUAUUAGGAGGAACACCGGUGGCGAAGGCGGCUUACUGGACUGUAACUGACGCUGAGUCACGAAAGCGUGGGUAGCAAACAGGAUUAGAUACCCUGGUAGUCCACGCUGUAAACGAUGAGUGCUAGGUGUUGGGUAGCGAUACUCAGUGCCGGAGUAAACACAAUAAGCACUCCGCCUGGGGAGUACGGUCGCAAGACUGAAACUCAAAGGAAUUGACGGGUCCCCGCACAAGCAGCGGAGCGUGUGGUUUAAUUCGAUGCUACACGAAGAACCUUACCUGGGUUUGACAUAGAGGUAGUAGGGAAGCGAAAGCGGACCGACCCUUCGGGGAGCCUCUACAGGUGUUGCAUGGCUGUCGUCAGCUCGUGUCGUGAGAUGUUCGGUUAAGUCCGCUAACGAGCGCAACCCUCGCUGUGUGUUACAAGUGUCACACGGUACUGCCGAUAUUAAGUCGGAGGAAGGUGGGGAUGACGUCAAGUCAGCAUGACCUUUAUAUCCAGGGCUACACACACGCUACAAUGGCCAGUACAAUGGGUUGCCAAGCCGCGAGGCGGAGCCAAUCCUAAAAAGCUGGCCUCAGUUCAGAUUGCAGUCUGCAACUCGACUGCAUGAAGUUGGAGUUGCUAGUAACCGCAGGUCAGCAAUACUGCGGUGAAUACGUUCCCGGGCCU